rnacentral:lncRNA from 1 species
GGCAGCCUCCCACACUUCCCUCCCUCUCCAGGAGCAGGGGGGCUCUCUGCCACCCCUCCCCCACCUCAUGGGCUGGGAUCCAACGGGGAAACGGACUGAGUCUGCCUCACGAGGCUCUGGACUUUGAAAGUAGCCCAGCAGGGCGGGCGGGCAGAACCAGAGUUCACCGCCGCCACCCCAGGCCCCCACCCCUGCCUGGGGCCGUGGGCGGGCUGACCGCACUUCCCCGUCCGAACCGCCAGCUGCUCCCAGCCUGGUGACACUCUCCCCUCUCCAAGAGCAGAGACCCUACCCCCGCCCGCCCGCCCGGCAGCUCUCCAAGCCUCGGAGGCUGCAGAAGGCUGUCGCUCUCCGGGGAUCCCAGGGGCCUGCUGGAAGGGGCUAUUCAGAGCUUGGCCGAGUCUCCUCCCCUCCCUGUAACCUGGGUCCCCCCCCACACGCCUCCAGGGACCAACUCAAGUCACUGGUGGAGGGAGGGCUGCCCCACGGCUGGGAGGUCUCUGCCUUGCCUGGUAGACGGAGGCCACUGGCUUCCAUGUGGCGCGGGGCGGGGGGGGGGGACCUGGGUCCCCAGAUUCAAAGCUGGGCUGGACAGAGCUUUUUCCCACACACAUGGGGAGGCCUGUUUCUCUGCCAGGGUGGGGCCUGGGGACUCACGGUGAGCCAGUCUCCUCCCACGUCCCCAGGACGAGUGCCUCUCCUGGGGAGCCCUGGAGGCCGCCCGCUCCCCAGGGACAUGUAACUCCAGCCUGGGCUCACGGGAGGAGGGCCCCCCACCUUUCCAGCUACCAAGAGCUCGGACAGGAGGGGCGCUCAUCAAUGUGCCGGGAGCGUCCCCCACUGCCGGGUCCCUGCAGAGGGUGGGGCCGUGCCUGUCUCUCGUGGGCCCUCCCUGGCUCCUGGAGCCUCAGAACCAAAGUCACCCACACCUGCCCCUCCUGCCCCGCCUGCCCCAUCCCUCCUGGAGGGCCUGGUGGGCGGCAUCAGGCAAGGAGCAAGGCCACAGCUUCCACGAUGAUGCCCUAUCACAGGAUAGCCACACACAGUGGGAUGGCGAUGUGUCUGGGAUAGGUGCUCCAUGCGUGUGUCCAGAAUCGACACCAUCACGGCCUCAGAGAGCAACCCUGGCUGGCACAGGCCCGUGCAGGCCAGGCUGACGGCCACCCAGACACAGCGACUCCAGCAGCGCCUGUGCCCCGACCUCUGGGGCGGCUGGUGAAGUUUUCCUGACUCAAUGAGGACCAGCACCGGGACACCCAGGGCGCCGGGCAUGCCACGUGGAGCGGCCGGAGGACACGUCCUUGCCAGUCGGGGCCUGACAAAACGCGGUCCACUGGAGCAGGGAAUGGCAAAGCACUCUGGUAUUCUUGCCUUGAGAACCCCAGGAGAACCCCUUCUUACGGAUGGGGCAGCUGGGCCCCGCUAGGUCACUGGGCAGGAUGGCCAGGACCCUCGGCUGGGGGCCUUCUGCCUGUGGGCUCAGCGGCCUCUUCCUCCCCAGACACCCCAGCUGGUUCUGCAGCAUGGGCGGGGGACGGGCAGAGCCGGGGGUCCCAGCAGGCCGGCCGCCUGCUGCCCAGGGCCUCCCCCUGCCCUCUGGGCUCACUCCGCUCGCAGACGCCCCCACCCUCCUGCUCCCCAAGGGCCCCAUCCAAGGCCGCCCCCUGUCCCGGGGCCCGGGGGUGCCCUGAGCACUCUCCUCCCUGCGGGAGCAGCCGAGGGGGCAGCUUCGCUGGGCGCGGUGGCCACGGCUGGGGGCGGGCAGCAUCCACAGGUUCCUCACCAGCCCUCGGGGCCAUCGUGUCCCCUCCCAGCAGCCAGCCUUCCUUCCACCUCCUGAAAUGCAAAGCCAGCCCCGUUGUUCUUCUGCCAACAGCCCUUCCCCGUUCCCACGGCUCCCAGCUCCCAGGGAGAAGGCUGAGCAAGUGUGCCAGCCGCCCCCCUCCACCCCGCCACCUCGGCCUCUGCGUGGCCCCUGCUGCUCCGGCUGCCCCCUGCCAGUUCUGUCUCCGGGGUGGGGGGUGGGCGCGGGCUGAUUGUUCCCUCAGCAGGAAGACACCCUCCCCACCUGCUCGGCCUCAGCCCCUGGCUUCCUCUUCCGGGUGUGUGCUGCGUGUUGGGGGAGGCGCAGCAUGCUACUGACCCCCUGGCCACUGCCCCUUGCACGCUGCGCCCCCAGCUCUCUGCUGCCAGGGCCCCCGCCGCCUGCUGAGUAGUGCACAGCCAGAGUCCUGCCGACCUGGAACCUGGCACCUGGGCAGGUGGGCACUGGGCGGGGAAGGGGGGGUAUCCCAACCCCCCGGAGCUCAGCCUGGGUGAGAGGCAGACUCGCCUGCAGAUGAAAUCCACCUUGAUGCCGAGCACAAAGCACCUUCCUCCCCCAGCGCCCGGCUCGCCGCAGACGUGCAGGAAAUCUUAACUCACGGGAAUGAACUCGUUUUGUGAGAGCACAAAGGAGGGAGGGGCUGAUCCCUGAGAGCUUCUCAGCAGUGCGGGCUGGCUUGGUGGAGAGGACAUUCCUGGCUGGGAAACAGCCCAUGUGAGGGGCCAGCUGGAGGCGGGGAUGGGCCUCAUGUUUCUGGAAAGGGCGGGGAGUGGUGGGCUGAGCUGGGGCGUGGAGGGGAUCCGGGGCGCCACGUGGAACAUGCAACUUGAGUCUGUUGAGGUGGGGGAGAAGGCGUGUGUUUACACUGGGUUUUAUACCGAGGACCACAGAGGCAGUGUGGGGAGGAGGGCCAAAGGGCCUGGUGCUGGAGGAACAGGGAGGGGAGGGCUGGCCACCCCACUGCGUCCGGCCUUCUCUUCCUCCUCAGUAACACUCUCGCUUGUGUUC